UUACAUUCUAAUGAAUGGAUUCAGAUAAUAUCCUAAGUAAACUUAGAAAAUAUAUGUUCAGCGACUUCCCUGGUGGCGCAGUGGUUAAGAAUCUGCCUGCCAAUGCAGGGGACACGGGUUCGAGUCCUGGUCUGGGAAAAUCCUACAUGCCGCGGAACAACUAAGCCCGCACACCACAGCUACUGAGCCUGCGCGUCUGGAGCCUGUGCUCCGCAACAAGAGAAGGCCGCGACAGUGAGAGGCCCGCGCACCGCGAUGAAGAGUGGCCCCCGCUCACCGCAACUAGAGAAAGCCCUCGCACAGAAACGAAGACCCAACACAGCCAAAAAUAAAUAAAUAAAUUCAUUUAAAA